rnacentral:lncRNA from 1 species
AUUAGUGUAUAUUUUGAGAAAAUAAAUUUAUUAAGUCUCACAAUUAUUUAUUUAAUUUAUUGUGAUUUAUUUUCCAUUAAUUUGUAACGGUUGAGUUGAUGGGAGAAUAACUCUAUUUUAUGGCUACACUAAGACUACCUACCAUAGUUUUCUAUGUUCUUUUUUAGUCGAUACCAAUAUAUCAUUGAAGAAUGAGUAGAUUCCUUGAAUAUAUAGAAAAUGAGAUACAAGCAUGGCUACAGAAUAUAUGGUCUAUUGGUUGCUGCCAAGUAUAGAGAUAUAAUUUAAUCUAUGUUUUGAAUUGGGUUGCUAAUUGCUAACAAGAGAAAAACCAUUGGAAGCCUUUACGUUUUUUGACUUGCCUCUGGUAUGUGACUCUUUAAUAUCUUCUUUCUUUCAACUUUGUUGAUUUGGUGUUUUAGCUAAACUGAUAAAUUUGUUUACUCUUGCUAAGACAAUUUAGUAGACUCUUUUCUAUAUAUAUUGGGUGUGUUGAUUAAUACAUAUAUAUUGAUCUAUGAAUAGCAUUUUGAGCACAUAUAGCUUGUUUAACUAUAUGUCAAAUUGUUAGUAUAACUUUUUAUGUGGAUAUAUGUUUGGUUCGGU